UAUUUUUUUUUUUAAUAACAAAAGAAGGCGAAGGCAAAGGCGAACAAGAUCAAUCAGGAGAAGAAGACUCUUCUCCACCAUUCGGGUUCGAGGCCUUUCUCUUAUAGGAUGGAGGCGCGACGGAAGAAGGGUUCAAAAUUUCCGGAGAUUGACGUCUUUGCUAACAUUUAUGUUCGGCCUAGGAAUGAGUUUACCGAGUCCUUUCAUGCGACUAUGGUGGAGAAAAGUCAGUCGAUGCUUCAAGAGUCCGCCUCCUAGCUUCUCUCGAACACGCCUAUUGAGUAUGUGGAUCCCCUUGAGAAUGCAGGGUUUCACAUCAUGACAAAGACGUUGGACCAGACUUUCGGUCGGAGACCAGGGACUUAUUGUUGGGGGAUGGAAAAUGCCAAGCGGCGAGAGAGUAUAGCCUCGUCAUCCUAGCAGUCAAAUGGCCAGGUUACGGCUUUGACGGAAGAAGUCGCUAGCCUAAGGAGUCAGCUAGCAUCUUACAAGUCUCAAAUGUCGAUGCUUGUACAAACCCUCAGUUCCUCUGGAAUACAUCUCCCAUGUUUAUCUACAUCAUCGCCCUCAUAGCCCUUCCACACUGAGCAAGCACAGCAAUCAAGCUCGUCGACCUCUGACCCCGUCCCCAACCAGCAGUAAGAUCCUUUAAACGACAUUCCUAUAGAUUUUUCCGCUUUUUUUUUCAUAGUUUUGUUCCUGCUUUCUUUUAAAACUUUAUA